ensembl:antisense Gm16579 predicted gene 16579
ACACUUGUGCACAGGGAGCUCCCCAGCCUGAUACCUGCCCCUUCCGUAUCUGAAUGCUUGUUAUUCAUCUGCUGCAGAAGCCGGGAGAUGCAGAUAGUAGACGAGUGUUUGGCCGGAUACCUCAGAGGACAAGAGCUGCAAGCCUAACAUGGAUCAUGUCUCAGUCGCAUCAGAUUUGAUCAGUGGUAAGUGUAUCUGAAACACUCUUUCUAUUCACGUUUCAGGUAAGGCGAAAAUUUACAUAUUUCAGAUAUAAAAAUAACUACACCUCUUGCAUUCAGGCCCAUACAGUAAAGAACCGCCAGAUCUGGUACUGUGGAGGGGCACCUAACCACUAUUCAGGCCUAGAAUAAAGAUUUUAAUGGUAGACACAUUAAGGCACAGUCCCAGUAUCAGUAGAGUUAUAUAUCUCUUCAUAAUAGUGCUUUUUUUCUUCAGAAAUAUAUCACUAGGCAGUUUUGUCAUUGUGUAACUAUUACAGUAUGGGCAUACAUAAACCAAAGUCAGUCUCUCACUGUGGCCUCUUCAAGAAACUCAGAGAUACUAAAAACACAGCAUCUAUGAGGCUAUUACAGGCAUGACAGAACAGAAUAUUUUAUAGCAAUAAUUUUUAAUAAAUAAGAGUGACAUAUAAAAAAUAGCAAAAAUCCAGUCUAUUUAAAUUCAAAAACCAGUAAUGUGUACUGUUCAUGAUUGUAUGUGAUCUUCUGGAACUACAAUGGUUUUGCUAACUCAGACCUCACCUCAAACACAUGAGUGACAUGUUUCACUGAUGUUACUUAUAAAACUAUGAUGUCAUACAAGCCACAUGAGUUUGUCAGCUCCAUUCUAGUCUCAAGAUUAUAUAUCUGGCCAGUCAUUGCCCAGAAAAUUGAUGCACAUCUAUGCUUUUCAUUAAAUAAUCAUUACAAAGAAAAUUAUAUUCAUGUGCUCAAAAUCAUUUUAUCCAAGUCAAUGGUCUAACAUUAAUAUAAUGCUUUAUUCUUUUUUUUUGUUUGUUUGGUUUUUUUUUGUUUUUUUUUUUUUUUUUUUUUUUUUUUUUUUUUUUUUUGGUGUUUUCAAGACAGGGUUUCUCUGUGUAGUCCUGGCUGGCCUGGAACUCACUCUGUAGACCAAGCUGACCUCAAACUCAGAAAUCCGCGUGCCUCUGCCUCUCAAGAUCUGGGAUUAAAGGUGUGCACCACCACGCCCAGCUAGUGCUUUAUUCUUAUGAGUUCACAGACUUAUAUACUGUCUAACCAGGGAAAAGGGUACCAUAAUUUAGUCCUAGAACAAAUUUGACACAGGACACAGGAUACUGCAAGAAUUUCCUCCUCACUGAUUCAUGCCAAAAGAUGUAUUGGUCAUAGGAAAUUUGUCAUGAUUGUUUUCCUGACAUAUGUAUGUGUCACUCCAAAAGCUAAGAAAGUAACAACUCACAAAGGAACAGGCACUCCGGCUAUUAGAAGAAAAGGUGACUUUUUGAAAACUUGCAUUGACAGGUCUUAACUUUAGUAUGUGGUGUUAGUUACCUUUGACUGGCUCUCAAAGAAGUGUGGUUGCAUUACCAGAUUAAGGUUAACAUUAUCUAUGGAAAAUAAAGGAUAAUUCAUUGACUGUAGCAUUUCUGUUGUUAAGGAUUCCCGAUAUGGUAAAGAAAAUGUAAAAGAAAUAGUUCAGCUGUGUUUUAAGUUAUUUAAGGAGGCAUCAUAUAAAAUACCUUAUUGUACCGAAAAGAACAUGGUUGUACCAUAACUACUAAAAAUGAGUACUCUAAACUGCAUUCUACUUGUAUCGUUUUCUUACUGUUACCUUCUCUCUUUUUUUUCAGAUCUUUUUAUUUUAUUUUAUGUGUGUGAGUGUGUUGUGUGCAUGUGUAUAUGGGAAACAUGUGCAUUCCUGAUGCCAUGUAGGGUUGGAAGAAAAGAUCAGAUUCCCAGGAACUACAUUUAAGAGUGUUUUGAAGCUACCCUGUGGAUACUGGGAACCGAACUUGGGUCCUGUACAAACACAAACAUACUUAAUUGCUGAGCCAUCCCUCCAGUACCCAUUAUUACCUUUAAUACUCCAUCAGGGUACUAAAAUGUGUCCUUUUAAGUUUCAUAAGAAGACAAAUCAGUUUUAUGUUAUGUUAUUCCCUUUGUUAUGGUGAGAUAGUGCUACAGAAUUGUGAAGGAGCCUAAUCCAGAUUUUCUUAUGAAAACUAGCUAAUAGUAUAAUCUUUUCUUCAACUAACACAUACCUAUCCAAAGACACAUACACAUUCCAAAAACACCCCCACUGAUAAUCAUCCUUGCACGGCCAAAAGACACCCCUCUUCUCCAAUGAGAAAUUACAUAAAAUCAUACACACACAGAGAGAGACUAGAUUUUCACAAUGUGAGGAGCUCAGUGGCCUUCAGCUCACCUAUGGGAUUCUUAAACCCCUUCAACACACAUAAGUUACAUGCUAAUGUGAAGCUCCACCACACGGCAGUCUGAUUACACGACCAGUUUCCAUGUUCUUUUGAUCGAGGUCUCAAUGAGGAUUGUAAGAAACAACAAAAGAGGAAAUUUUCAAGGAGAAAUCAUGUGCAAAGUUACUUUUGCAAAUGUGUGGAUAUAAUAAC